rnacentral:rRNA from 1 species
UACGUAGGUGGCAAGCGUUGUCCGGAUUUACUGGGCGUAAAGAGCGCGCAGGCGGUCGAUCAAGUCGCGUGUGAAAGCCCCCGGCUCAACUGGGGAGGGUCACGCGAUACUGAUCGACUCGAAGGCAGGAGAGGGUAGUGGAAUUCCCGGUGUAGUGGUGAAAUGCGUAGAUAUUGGGAGGAACACCAGUGGCGAAGGCGGCUACCUGGACCGGUUCUGACGCUGAUGCGCGAAAGCGUGGGUAGCAAACAGG